GUCUCCAACAACAUCCGAUAAAAUUGGAACGAUAUAAAACCAGAAUUCCCCUACAUUUUCCAAAACUCAAAUGCCCCAUUUCAUUUCACAAAAUUCUCCCCAGAUCUCUCAGAGAGGAGCCUUUUGAUUUUUUGGGUCUCAAAGCAAGUAAAAAUGUGCAGGUUGUGCGUGUGCUGCAUGUGCAUAUUAGUAAUCUUGCUAUUCAUCGGUGUGUUAUUUGCGGUCGGCCCUUUGACGAAGCUGAGGCAUCACUUCAUCAUCAAGCAAUCUGUGCAUCAUUUCUGCGAUCCAAAUGUUCAUGGCUUUUUAUGUAGGCGUAGUGGAAUGACUAGAAAACCCUUAUUGGGUUACACUGCACCUCCACCUUAAUUUCUAGCUUAAUUAGGGUUUUGUUUCUUUAUUCUCUGACGCAUUAUGUAAUGAAUCUGUCUCAUCUUUCUUUGUUAUUAUUUGAAUUUUAGUUCUUAGGUUUUAAUUUUUUAUAUAUGUUAAUCUGGGUUUUUGGGUUACAAUUUACAUUGGUUAUAGAUGUAAGGAUUGUUCUUAGAAUUUAUAUCCUCUUCGAUUUAUGUUUAUUUUUGUUUUUUCUUUUAAGUCACAUAUAUGGACGACAAUUCUCCUCUCGUAUUCGUGAGGCUUCGCACCUAAUGAGUAUGGUAGGAAGAAUAAAAAUUCGGUAUGGGGACUAGUUUGGGAAAACUUUUAGGUAUGGUAUUUGGGACGGACCGGAAAUGGUAUCAUUGUUAUCAAGUAAUACUAUUAUUGUUAAGAGUAUAUAUGGUAAAUGUAAA
rnacentral:lncRNA from 1 species